CCUACGGGAGGCAGCAGUGAGGAAUAUUGGUCAAUGGACGAGAGUCUGAACCAGCCAAGUAGCGUGAAGGAUGACUGCCCUAUGGGUUGUAAACUUCUUUUAUAUGGGAAUAAAACGUUCCACGUGUGGGAUUUUGUAUGUACCAUAUGAAUAAGGAUCGGCUAACUCUGUGCCAGCAGCCGCGGUAAUACGGGGGAUCCGAGCGUUAUCCGGAUUUAUUGGGUUUAAAGGGAGCGUAGGUGGAUUGUUAAUGCAGUUGUGAAAGUUUGCGGCUCAACCGUAAAAUUGCAGUUGAAACUGGCAGUCUUGAGUACAGUAGAGGUGGGCGGAAUUCGUGGUGUAGCGGUGAAAUGCUUAGAUAUCACGAAGAACUCCGAUUGCGAAGGCAGUUCACUGGACUGCAACUGACACUGAGGCUCGAAAGUGUGGGUAUCAAACAGGAUUAGAUACCCGAGUAGUC
rnacentral:rRNA from 1 species